rnacentral:misc_RNA from 1 species
CCUUCUUCAUAAGUCUUUAUCCCUAGAUAGUUGUAGCACUGUAGCAGUUCAUUUUGAAAAAUUUUGAACGCUGUGAGUGUGUAAAGCCUUCUACCCUGUUCUUCUACUGGUUCUUUUGUAUGUAGAAAAGCCUGCAAAUUAUAGCAAUUAAAGUCCUCUUGUCUUUCCUCAUCGCGACGUCGUGCAAGGCCUUGCUCAUAUCGUGAAAUAAACUCUGCAAGUGGUGUUUGAGCAUUCAAGAAUGUACCAAAGAAUGAUUCCAAACCUUCACUUACGGGAAUGCCAGCACAAAAUUUUCCCCCUAGGUACAGUGGCACCCAGCUUUCACGCUUUUCAUACAUUUCUCUAAGCCAAGCAUUCUCCUUCAGCGCAUAUUUGUUGAUGAGCGCANCUGGUUUUAAAGUCAACAGAUGUUUGGCUUUGAUAGAUGCAUUUCUCAUAUUCAUAUUUGAAUUCUUCGGUCAUUGACCUAAAAUUCUCUCGUUCCUUUGCUCUAAUCUGCCACAUCGAAAAACGAUGAUGAGUCCCCGGAAAGACUUUUGCAAUUGCUUGCUGGAUGGCUGCAUCUUGAUCAGCUAUAAUAGAUUUAGGUCGACAUCCUGACAUAGCUCUAAGCCAUGUCUGAAACAGCCAAGUGACAGACUCCUCUGACAUAUUGGCGAUUAGAGCACAAGCUAGAAGAACUGGCUGCUUAUGGUGGUUAACUCCAACCAAGGUUGCAAAUGGCACUACAUAAUUACUCUUCCUGUAUGAGGUAUCAAACACAAUGGCAUCACCAAAUUGACUGCAUGAGAAUCUAGACCUGCCAUCUGCCCANGAAAACACUCAUGCAACUACCAUUAUCAGCCUCCACUGAAUAAAAGAAUCCAGUAUCUUCUGCUUG